rnacentral:lncRNA from 1 species
CCCAAAUCCAUUUCCUUCUCGAUGAGUGACGAGCAUAAACGGUGUGCUGAAUCUGAAGUCCUCACCGCCGCAAGUCCGCAACUGCCAACUCCCAACUGGUACGAUUGUGAUAUGUGAACUUUUGAUAUCAUUAUCAUUUCAAUUUCAAUUUUCAUACGUUAAAUUGGGGCAUGCUUAUUGUUUAUGUUUAAUUUUUUUUUUUUUAGUAGUUUGUUACUCUCUUUCUCUGCCUAAUUAGGUAUUAAUUUUUAAGGUUUUGAUUUUUGAAUUGCUUACAGCUUAUUUGGGGAUUUUGUUGGAAUUGGUUGUAUUGUGAUGUUUUCAGUUGAGCGGUUUAGAGAUUUGCGGUAUUUUUAAAUUUUAUUUGUAAAUAAUCUCAUAACUCUCGUCCUUUUGAGUUUUGAUUUAAGUUUUUAUGAAUUGGUUUUAUUGUGAUUUAAGUUUGUAUGAAGUGUUUAUGGCUUUUAAUAAAUGGUGGAAACUAGAAAGUAAAUAAGUAAUGCUGUAAUGGGAGAAACGGGUUCGAUAACGAAAGUUGGGGCUUUUAAUAAAUGAUGGAAAGUUGGAAAGUUUUUAUGAUGGUUAAUAAAUGGUUGAAUUGUUGAAUUUUUAAUCAAUUCUAAUUGAAAAUUAAAUUGGGGCAUUUUGCAGAUUAUGGAAUGAUUUUUUUAAUCGAAACGAAAGUCUAUACCUAAUUCUCCUAAUUUUAGUUGUGCUUCUAGUCCUAUCACUGCUUCUAGUCGAGCACUCGAGUUGUUAAAUAACACAAAGAAAUCUCGGGCUGCCGAUUAGACCGGGCUUUUACGAUCGUUGAUUGUCAACAGUCGACGGUCAAAGUCAACAUCCGCCCUAACUGAAGGUUGAUGCUGGAUUCGCCCCUAAGGGUAAGUUUUACUUUUAUUUUCUUAUAUUUUACUUCCGUUAUUAAUAAAUCAAGACACCUAGAGUGUUUAUUAUUGUUAACAAAGAAAACUAACUUUAAAAUAGUACAUGUUCUUAAAUUGUUAUUCACAAAGUGGUGAAAGGAAAUAUAAAGAUGCCAACAUAUUUUGGAGAAAUGAUUUGUAUAAAUCUCCACAUCAUUUUUGCAUUGAUAGCAUGAAUUUUCCCUUUUCAAGGUAUCAAUCGAUAAAACCUUCCGUAAGAUAGGCCAUCAAGAAAAUGUGGUGGUCGAUCUUACUGUGUGACACACAAAAGAAGAGAAGAAGAGUUGUUUAAAGAGGUAUGAGCUCCACAUCCCAUUAUCAUCAACUUUUUUCGGAUCGAUCUUUCAACCAACUCUAUAUGUGUCGUGCUUGAAAACUCAUACAUAAGCUGCUUAAAAACGUAGUAAUCACUCACCCAUCUAUAUAUAGAAAGUGAAUGGAUGUUUGAAGAAUAACAAGCACGUCUUGUCAAAACAUUUCACUUGUAUAUCGAAGGAACUAACUCAACGACCAAUAAGCUCGAACAAAUAAUAUAUAUAUAUAUAUGCCUUGCAAUUAAACAACCAAAGAGAGAGAGAGAGAGAGAGAGAGAGAGAGAAACAACUAGAGAGAGAGAGAGAGAGAUGAGAAGGACAUAAGAAAUGGCUUAUCUUCUAAUUGCAACUAUUAUCGCUGGUGGAAUUGGCUAAAUCACUGCUGCUAAAUAUGCUUAUGUCAAAACGUAAAGUUCCGCUCUCCACUUUCGAUUAAAUGAAGGCAAGUCUAGUGAUCUACAUAGUUUUCUUGGGCUGAUAUUCUACCUUCUCUUAAGAUUUAUGAGGUAUAAGUUCAUAGCAUUUUUGUCUGAGGAUAAAAAGAGAAUUUAUAUUUUAUUUUUUGUCUGUGAAUUAUAAAGAAAAUGACUUAAAAACAAUAAUGGAAAUAAUCGAAGAAAAAUUACAAUAUCUAUAUAUGUUAGAUAGCUAGAAUUUAAUAAGUCCCUGUUUGGUACCAAUUAAAAUCUAGAUUUUAACUUAAGACAAAGUUAGCAAUUUAUUUCAAUCACAUAAUUUAUCGAUCCUACAACUUUUUGACUACACAUUUCAUUAAUUUUUAUCAAAAUCUACUAAAAUUUUGAUUUUAAUUCCCAUCAAGCCCAUCUAGGGAUGACAAUUUGAACCGUUAAACUCGAAAACUGCGGUUAAUCGAACCGAAUCGGGCGAAAAAACGAACCGAUGGUGCAAUAGAGCGGAUAUGGUAUUUGAUUUUAAUGAAACGGUUCGUAGCGGUGUGGGUAUGGUAUUUAUGCUUUCAAACCAAAAUCG